rnacentral:rRNA from 1 species
AGUGAACGCUGGCGGUAGGCCUAACACAUGCAAGUCGAACGGCAGCACAGUAAGAGCUUGCUCUUACGGGUGGCGAGUGGCGGACGGGUGAGGAAUACAUCGGAAUCUACUUUUUCGUGGGGGAUAACGUAGGGAAACUUACGCUAAUACCGCAUACGACCUACGGGUGAAAGCAGGGGAUCUUCGGACCUUGCGCGAAUGAAUGAGCCGAUGUCGGAUUAGCUAGUUGGCGGAGUAAAGUCCCACCAAGGCGACGAUCCGUAGCUGGUCUGAGAGGAUGAUCGGCCACACUGGAACUGAGACACGGUCCAGACUCCUACGGGAGGCAGCAGUUGGGAAUAUUGGACAAUGGGCGCAAGCCUGAUCCAGCCAUACCGCGUGGGUGAAGAAGGCCUUCGGGUUGUAAAGCCCUUUUGUUGGGAAAGAAAAGCAGCAGGUUAAUACCCCGCUGUUCUGACGGUACCCAAAGAAUAAGCACCGGCUAACUUCGUG